GACGAACGCUGGCGGCGUGCUUAACACAUGCAAGUCGAACGGAAAGGCCCUGCUUUUGUGGGGUGCUCGAGUGGCGAACGGGUGAGUAACACGUGAGUAACCUGCCCUUGACUUUGGGAUAACUUCAGGAAACUGGGGCUAAUACCGGAUAGGAGCUCCUGCUGCAUGGUGGGGGUUGGAAAGUUUCGGCGGUUGGGGAUGGACUCGCGGCUUAUCGGCUUGUUGGUGGGGUAGUGGCUUACCAAGGCUUUGACGGGUAGCCGGCCUGAGAGGGCGACCGGCCACAUUGGGACUGAGAUACGGCCCAGACUCCUACGGGAGGCAGCAGUGGGGAAUAUUGCACAAUGGGCGGAAGCCUGAUGCAGCAACGCCGCGUGCGGGAUGACGGCCUUCGGGUUGUAAACCGCUUUCGCCUGUGACGAAGCGUGAGUGACGGUAAUGGGUAAAGAAGCACCGGCUAACUACGUG
rnacentral:rRNA from 1 species